UGAAAUGAAGGUCCAAACAAAAACUUCAGAGAUAAAUCAGUAGUACCCCAGGAGGAGACUUCAUCUCUUGCUUGUCACCAAGGACCUUUGCUGCCGGGCUGCUGCAUCCUGACUCUCUGUGCUUCCUCUCCUCCUGAUCUGUCAGUCUUGACUUGAAAGAUUGCCUGGCUUUGGCAGUAAGUCUGCACAACCCACCGCCCCACCACACACCUCCUUCCAUCAAGGUAAUAAUAAACAGAAACACAGUGCACUAAUUGGUCUAUCACAGCCUCAUCUAUAUCAGUUUGUAUUUGCUCUACUGUCUGCUGACUGUUUGGAUACAUCUCACAAAAUGCUACAAGAUGUUCUGCUCUCUAAGAAGCGUACACUGUGCUUGGAUUCAAACAAUUUGAUUUUCUUGAGACAAGAAAAAACACUAAGUGUCACAAGUAACUGCAACAGCACUGCAGAGUUUACCUUAGGCCCAUUAAAAAUCACUGUCAUCAUCUUAAUGUCCCUUCUUCAGAAUACGUCUAACCUUAGAGUAACUAGAAGGCUGCAUUCUCCAAUGAACAAAAAAUCCACCUAAAUAAAGGAAAAACCCUGAGAUUCAUGGUUGAUGUUCCUGUGGCUAGUCCUGUUUUUCCACCCAUCUUUCCAUCUGCCUGAGGCUGGCCUCUCCAUUGCACUCACUCACCGGUUUAUGUGGAAGAGUUCCUUGAAAAGACCUGGUUUAAGGAAAUAGAAAAAGACACAUUGCCACUUUUUGCAAAGAAAAAUCAAAAGGUAUGCUUUCCUUGGCUCCUUCAUAUAGACAUUAUUUUUGUUCUUAUUUUCCCAUUCCUAUAAUUGAAAGAGACAUUUUAUAUGCUGAAAACUGUUGGCAUUUCAGCAAGUUUCUUGAAGCAAAACAACCAAGACACACACAACAAAUAACGGAUAACACUGGACUGCAAUUCAUUUGGACAAUUACACAUAAAUACAUUAAGGGAAAUCACAUCAUUUCCCAGAGAGUUUUCAGCAAGAAAAAUAGAAAAAAAUACUUGGCUCCGUAGAGAAAUUGCUUAUCCAGCUCUAGUAGUAACACAUUUAAGAGAUUAAUUUCUUCUGUUGAAAGCUCUUCCGCAAUGGUAGAUCUGUCCUUUUUCUCCCCUGUGAAAUAUGGAAAUGUGCCUACAAAGAUUUGUGAAAAUAAACAGCAUUCUUUGCCAAAG
rnacentral:lncRNA from 7 species